UGGCAACAAUGAUGACAGGUUUUCAGACUGUAUGUAAAGCAUUUUAUUGCACAUGGAGACACCAGUCCCUCUAAGCUGAUGUUGCCA
ensembl:snoRNA SNORD127 small nucleolar RNA, C/D box 127